UAAAGAAAUUUUAAUCUUUAAGUUUCGACCAUGUUUGGUCACCGAAAGCUCUACUGAACUGUAAUCUUUAUCAGAUAGCUGUCGGAUUUUAUUUUUCACUUUCUAGGUGUCAGAAUGGCAUGAAGCUUUAAAUCUAGCCCCAUAAAAAUAAUUUUGACAUAUCCUCCAGUUUUUAUAAUUUUCUGACACUGUGCAUUUUCUGCUAAUUUAUCUGCCCCAUUUCUCACAGAAAAUUCUAAAUCUUCUGUUUUCACUUCGAUUUCAGCACAGGUCAUUUCCAACUUAUAUUUCACUUCUCUAAAUCCAAUAAAAAUAGUAUCUCAUACUAUCUUUAUUUAUUUUCACUUUUAUAUUUAAUAUCCGGUAUAUUACAUUCCACCGCAACCUCACCGGAACCAUUCAAAUGGCUUUCCAAUCAAAUGUACCCCGUAGCUUUAUAAUUUUAGAA
rnacentral:lncRNA from 1 species